rnacentral:lncRNA from 1 species
AAUCACGGAGAGCGGGUUCCGUCCCCUCCUCGCCCCGGCCUGUAACUGCUGCGGGGGCCGCUUUCUGGGCCCGCCCCUCCAGGCCAGGAGCCUUUUUCAAAAUGUGGCGGUGGCAGGGAAGGUUGUCUGCUCCAGAGGCUUCCCUAGAGUGAAGAGCUCUACUAUGUAUGCUUUAUGCGGCAGAAGGAGUGCUUUGGAGGAGUUUUUAAAUUUGUUUUUUUUUUAAAUCUUAUCGGUUUUAAUUGUAGCAAUGAUUCAAGAAACGUUAGUAGGUGCCCAUAACUUCGGUGGUGGAGAUCCAAAAGUGAACAAGACAGUGUUCUGGCUGCUAAAUUCUUCUUAACUGGUUAUGCCUGGAGACCUUCACUUGGUUCUGUGCCAGCACUGCCCAUGAACUUCAUAGACUGUGAUCUUUGCUAAGGCCUAAAUGAAUGAAGGUGCAGGACCGGAAGCAGAAGACAGAAAGUGGAGACCAGAUGUUUGAAGCUGGGUAAAGGCAGGGAUGGAGCAGGAACCGAGGAACAAACCUUGGAACUAGGUAAGUUUCCUGAGGCCUUCCCAGAAGUAGAAGCCUGCACAGUCCACAGAACUAGUCUGAUGCUUGGCUGUCUGAAACCUAUUCCUGAAAUGAAAACUGUGAGAUCACAUAUCCAGCAUUGUUUCUCAAAUAGAACUAGAAAUAAUAGCCUAAGAAAUGUACCAUCAGCUGGAACUGGAAAGAAUUGUGAUACUUGAAGAGACUUAGCACUUGGUGGACUAUGAUUUUCUAUCAAUCAAGUCAAGCACUGCUACCCAGUCUUCACUACAGAGUGCACCGGAAAGAAUGAUCCAGCAGUAAAAUGCUUUAUGAACUAUCCAUAUGGAAACCAUUGGCAAUAACACAUCCUGGCAUAUGGCUCUGAGAUGUAUAAAGGCACAGUGAAUUCCUGAAUCAUCCUUUGAUCUUCCACAAGACUCAGUAUCACUGAUUAACUACAAUUUGAAUAUAGUUCAUCACUGAAGGAAUGAGUGAGUGAAUGAGAAAGUGAGCAAAUGAGGCCGUGGAGGUCACUUAAACCAGGGAUCAGGUUCAUAGAGGUCACCCAACACAAGAUGGAAUAGUCAAGUAAACCAAGUUUACGGAGUUAGACAAAACUCCAUAAGGCAAGGUCAACAAAGGCAGCUCUGACGGACUGUUCAAUCCUGACUUUAGGCUGAUGCUGGUCUCUACUCUGUCUUCCUCCUGAGAGUAGGGGGCCUGGGGGCCCUUAAAUAAUUGCUGGUGUUAAAAGGGAGUUCAAUAUUUUCAAGCAUACCUAGCUUCUGUUUGAAGAGAGACAGGGUAGAAGAAUUACCUGGAAGGGAUAGGGUACACACUGCCACCUCCAUUGCUAUAACGUUUUACUCUUGUCAACAGACUUUCACAUAUAUGCUCUUGAGUCAAGCACAGGAAGAAAUAAAUUUUGCUGCUGAAUUUGAAGCAAUUGGCCAUGGAAGCCAGUCUUCAGGGGCAUUAAAACAAAUGCCUAACAAAAGUUUAUUAUAAGGCACUUGCUCCACCUGAACUCAUUUCAUCGUUAGAAAAAAAUCUAAGAAGUAAAAAUUAAUAUCCUUCCCUUUUCACAAGAUGAUGGAAUCAAGAGCCUUAACAAGUUUUAAUGGCCUGCCAAGGGUCAUUUGUCAACUUCUGAGUCUAAUGUCUAUGUUCUACUCAUGACAUGGCAGUUGUGGUAUAGAGGGAUCUGAUACAUCAUGAAAAUAUAAACCCACAGAUUUUGAUUCUAAGAAAGUGACCCAAGUUGUGCUCAUUAUGGUUUUGCUUAAAAUUAAAGUUUAGAUUGAAAUGAUACCAGUUACGUGUUCUUAAAAACCUGCCAUGAUUUACUUUAGAUGAUGAUUGAGGACCUACUGUGUGCAAGCCACUGGGAUGAACAUCUUAUAUAUAGUUUUUUAUUUCAUCCCCAUAGUUAUCCUAGAGACAGGCAUGAUUCCCUUCUUCUUACAAGUGAAGAAACUAAGGCUCAGAAGCAUUGAGUGACUUGCUCCAAAUCAUAAAAUUAGUGGUGGAGAGAAAAUUUAAAGACAGGUUAUCUGGUUCUGGAAUCUACACUUUUACUAACUGCUCUCAAUGGCCUCUCCUUAGUAUUUGUGCCUUCAUUAAACAAAAUGUUUUGAAAACUUCCAGUGUGCCAAGUACUCUUUUGGGUGCUGAGGAUAUAACUAUACAAAUGUGAGUCAUCUUUUGAAUAUGCUAUUCUUCAACAUUUUUGGACUUAGCUAUUUUAAUAAGUUCUAUACUUGUAGGAAGUUUA